GAGAUGGGGAGGAUGUCGGCGGCCGUGGGUUCAGUGGCGACGCUGGCGGCGGAGCCGGGGGAGGAUGCCUUUCGGAAGCUUUUCCGCUUCUACCGACAGAGCCGCCCCGGGACCGCAGACCUGGGAGGGGUUAUCGACUUCUCGGCGGCCCACGCAGCCCGCGGCCCGGGGCCCGAGGCCCACAAGGUGGUCAGAUCUCAGCUAAGUUUGUCCUCAGUGAGUGACCAUGAUGCACACAGAGCAGGACUUCAGCCGGUCAGCAAGUGGCGAGCCUAUGGACUCGAAGGCUAUCCUGGAUUUAUUUUUAUCCCGAACCCCUUCCUCCCAGGUUACCAGUGGCACUGGGUAAAGCAGUGCCUUAAGUUAUAUUCCCAGAAACCCAACGUUUGUAACCUGGACAAACACAUGACUGAAGAACAGACCCAAGAUCUGUGGGAACAGAGCAAAGAGUUUCUGAGGUGUAAAGAAGUGAAUAAACGGAGACCCCGAAGUUUACUAGAGAAACUGCGCUGGGUGACCCUAGGCUACCACUAUAACUGGGACAGUAAGAAAUACUCAGCAGAUCACUAUACACCUUUCCCUUCUGACCUGGCUUUCCUCUCAGAGCAAGUGGCUGCUGCCUGUGGGUUUCAGGGUUUCCGAGCCGAAGCAGGGAUCCUGAAUUACUACCGAUUAGACUCCACGCUGGGGAUCCACGUCGACAGAUCUGAACUGGAUCACUCCAGACCGCUGCUGUCGUUCAGCUUUGGACAGUCUGCCAUCUUUCUCCUGGGUGGCCUCGAAAGAGCUGAAGCCCCCACAGCCCUGUUUAUGCACAGUGGUGACAUCAUGGUAAUGUCAGGGUUCAGCCGCCUGUUGAACCAUGCAGUCCCGAGGGUCCUUCCAAGUCCAACGGGGGAAAGCCUGCCUUGCUGCCUAGAGACUCCUCUCCCGGCUGACCUCCCCGGAGAUUCAGUGGUAGAGCCCUGUUCUGUGGAAGACUGGCAGGUGUGCGCCAGCUACUUGAAAACCGCUCGUGUUAACAUGACUGUCCGACAGGUGCUGGCCACAGACCAGGACUUCCCUUUGGAACCCAUGGAGGAGAAUAAAAGAGACAUCACCUCAGAAGGUGUCUGCCGUUUGGAUGACGAGAAUAGCCAAGUAAAACGAGCUAGGUUAAACCCUGACAGCUGAGACUCGGAGAACCCAUUCUUUGACUCAAGCGGGUCUUGUAAGUAAAUGACCUUGCUGUUUUGUAUUGCCAUAGACUUUAGCACCAAUACAAGCCAAAAACAGAGACGGGGAAAAACUCAUCAUUGAUCACACUGUUGCCUUGGAACCCAUUCUGGAGAAUAAACUGAUUAGCCAGCUUGCUCAGAGAAGUGUUUGACAUGGUCCAGUCCUGGCACUAAUGUAUGUGAGAAGUCCAAGGAGCUGUGACCGUCCACAACAGCCUUCUCAGCCUCUGCCAUUUUCUCUGAGGCAGGCAGAAGUGUUUUCAUGUCCAUGGAGUCUUUAAAUACCUCAGAUCUUAUUAAUGGGAAACAGAAUACCCUUCCCUCCACCCCAUCUGGUGAUUUGUGGUAAAAUUGUGGUUCCAGGAGCCAACCAUUUACCUCACCUUCUUAAUUCUUCCAGUCAACGUCAAAUUCCUUGAUCUUCUCUUCCAUCUUUUCUGGCCUUCACAGAAGAAUCCUAUACGUAUUACAACAAUGGAACUGGAAAUCUCAUCCCCUAGAAAAGAAAUUAAUCCAGCUCUCUCUCUUGCCUAAAAGGGGCAGUGUUGUACGAAAAAAUGCAGAUUCAAACUGUAAACUCACACACCACGAAGCAAGAUCUGUAUCCUGUGAGAAGCAUGUGGAAACUGAGGCCAGCCAGGAGAACAGCGGAUUCCUCUCCCAGCCCAGGCUUCCUUAGGGAUGUGCUCAUUGAGUGGGUUGGUGAGCAGUGUUUACAGUUAAAUUCUCUCUCUCUCAUUUUUAUUUAUAGUUGUGUGUGUGAGGCACAUGUAUUUGAAGAUGUAUAUAGUGCAGCUCUACUUUGACAGUAAGCAGAAAAUCAUGCAAUUCAGGAAAAAGGAAAAAUGGGCAAUUUUUCUACAUUUACAUGAGGAUCAUCCCCCUGGGUUUAUUUUAGUUGUCUACCAGCCAUUUUCUAAGUCAGGGGUCAGCAAACUAUGACUUGCCUCCUGUUUUUAUACUGCCCACUGACUGAUAAUAGUUUUUACAUUUCUAGAUGGUUGCAAAAAUAUAUAAAGAAGGAUAUUUUGUGUCAUGAAAAUUAUAUGAAGUCCAAAUUUGUGUCAAAUGAAGUUUUAUUGGAACACAGCCACACUAAUUCAUUUACAGAUUAUCUGUGGUUGCUGUCAUGCCAGAAUGACGGAGUUGAAUAAUUGCAACAGAGACCAUAUAGGCUACAAAGCCUAAAAGAUACGAUCUGGCCUUUUACACACACUUAGCCGACGCCUAGGAGGAAACCUGGAAGCAAGAGAAGGGACCAAGGGGAAGAUUUUCUUUAUUAUUUUAUACCAGAAAUGCCAGAGUGGAUGUUCAGUGUGAUCUAGGAUGUAUGUGGAUCAAGAGUAGAGUCACAGAAGUUAGGCCUGGGGAAAUUUGGCGCUCUAAUACUCUGCUCGUGGGAAGGUAAAUUGCUGUAACCUCUUCAACACAGUUUGGCAUCAUAUGACAUCCCAGCUUGACCAGGGCAGUCCUGCAUUAGGUCCCCUUAUCCUCUCAGAAGUGAUCUCGUUAGUGAUAAAUUAUAUGGUCAUCCUAAUUUUGUUUUAAAAUGUAUACCAUUUGACCCAAUAAAUUUCACUUCUAGGAGUUGAGUCUAAAGAAGUAAUUAGAGCUGUCCUCAAGAUUUUUUGUAACAAUGUUUGGAAUAGCAAAAGUUUGAAAUAUCAAUAGUUAGCAACAAGGAAUUGGUUGAUUAAAUUCAUGUAUUCGGGGGCUGGCCUGGUGGCGCAGCGGUUAAGUUCGCACGCUCCACUUCAGCGACCCAGAGUUUUCCAGUUUGGA